UCCGGGGCUUGCGGUUCUGAUUGGUGCAGAGAGGCGGUGGAUGAGCGCAAACCUAGCUUCCGCGCUGAGAGGAAUCGGGGGCCCGUUUUCAGCCUCUGGACUACAUUUCCCAGAGAAAUCCGCAGGCCCACGCUAUGUCCCGCGGUAUUUCGCUGCUGAGUUUUGCACAGUGGUGGGGCCGUUGGCUCCGCGGAGUUAGCUGCUGAGGGGCGUUUGGAACCCGGUGCAACUUAGCUACUUUGGACCAGACUGGAACUAGGGAAGGACUAGGUUACCUCACUAAGAGGAAAGAAUGGUUUCUGAACAUCCAAAAGUCAAGAUCAAAGUGCUUUGGGAUUUUUUCUUUCUUCCCUGAAAUCUUUGUUUUUCAAGGGGUUGGUGAUGUUCAGGGAUGUGGCUGUAGACUUCUCUCAGGAGGAGUGGGAAUGCCUGGACUCUACGCAGAGGGAUUUAUAUAGAGAUGUAAUGAUGGAGAAUUACAGCAACCUGGUCUUAUUAGGUGGGCCUCUCACUGUUGUGGCCUCUCCCAUUGCGGAACACAGGCUCCAGAUGCGCAGGCCCAGUGGCCAUGGCUCACUGGCCCAGCCGCUCCACGGCACGUGGGAUCUUCCCGGACCAGGGCACGAAACCAUGUUCCCUGCAUCGGCAGGCAGACUCUCAACCACUGCGCCACCAGGGAAGCCCCCUCUGACUAGUUUUGCUUUGAUGCAGCAAUUCCAUGCAUUAAAAGAUAUUCAUUUACUUUUAAUCAACAUUUAUUGACUUAAAAUAAUGUUCUAAUUGUAAGAUAGAGAUGAUUUCAUUUUUUUUCACAGAACAUUACAAAUGUGUUUAAAUUUUUUUCUUUUUUACUUUAUUACGGACAGAGGAAUGGACGUCCCAUGAAUUUGUGCCCGAGCUUCAGCAGUUAUUAACAUGUUUUCAAUCUUAUUUCAUCUAUCCUCAUUGACCUCUGCAUCCCCCACCCUUGAAGUAUUUUAAAGCAAGACCCAGAUAUCAUACGUUUAAAUACUAUUAAAUAUAUGUUGCUUUUCACAGUUUCUUCUAUUUAAAAUUACUACUCUGAUGCAUCUUUAUUUAGAUGGAUAUUUUCAUAUUUGAUGAUCAGAUAUGAGAUUCCUGGGCCAAAAAAGUUUAAACCCUUUAAAGCUCCUGAUAUUCUAGCACAGAAAUGCAUGAUCCAGGGAAGCUGACUUUUUAAUUUUAUUUAUAUAAAUUUUAUAUAAAUUUAUACUUUUAUUUAUAAAUAUAUAAAUUAAAGUAUAAAUAUACUUUCUUUUUAUGUAAAAUUUUGCCAUCUUUUCCACUAGAUUGUUUAGGUUUAUUUUCUUAAUAAUUAAUUAAUUUUCAGGAGUUAUUUAUUUACUUACUUAAAAUUGUGUUAAAACAAUGAAUAACAAAUGUAUUCCAUUUUCACCUUUUUUGAGUGUAAAUUCAGUGGCAUUAAGUACAUUCACAUUCUCUUGCAACCAUCACUGUAUUCAUUUCCACAACUUUUUCAUCUUCCCAGAAUGAAACUAUGUACUCAUUAAAUAAUAAUUCCAAUUCCUCUUCCCCACCAGGGCCUGGCAACCACCAUUCUACUUUCUGUCUUUAUGAAUUUCACUAUUCUAGAUAUCUCAUAUGAGUUGAAUCAUACAAUGUUUGUCUUUUUGUGUAUGGCUUAUUUCACUUAGUACCAUGUCCUCAAGUUUCAUCCAUGUUCUGGUAUGUGUCAGAAUUUCCUUUUUAAGGCUGAAUUCUGUUGUAUGUAUUUACCACGUUUUGUUUAUCGAUUCAUCCAUCAGCAGACAUUUGGGUUGCUUCCAUCUUUUGGCUAUUGUGAAUAAUACUUCUAGGAACAUGGGUGUACAAAUACCUGUUUGAGUCCCUGCUUUCAAUUGUUUGGGUAUAUACACAGAAGUGAAAUUGUUGGAUCGUAUGGUAAUUGUCUGUUUAAUUUUGUGUAUACACACACACACACACACAUUUUCUUUAUCCAUUCAUCCAUUGAUGAACACUUAGGCUGUUUCCAUGUCUUGGUUAAUGCUGCGGUGAAUGUGGGGGUACAUAUAUCUUUUCAAAUUAGUGUUUUCGUUUUCCUUGGAAAAAUACCCAGAAGAAGAAUUGUUGGAUCAUAUGUAGUUAUAUUUUUAAUUUUUUGAGGAACCUCCAUAUGUUUUCCAUAGUGGCUGCAUCAAUUUACAUUCCCAUCAGUAAUGACAAGGGCUCCCUUUUCUCUACAUCCUUGACAACACUUGUUAUAUUCUUUUUUUUUUUUUUUUGUGGUACGCGGGCCACUCACUGUUGUGGCCUCUCCCGUUGCGGAGCACAGGCUCGAGACGCGCAGGCUCAGCGGCCAUGGCUCACGGGCCCAGCCGCUCCGCGCCAUGUGGGAUCUUCCCGGACCAGGGCACAAACCAGUGUCCCCUGCAUCGGCAGGCGGACUCUCAACCGCUGCGCCACCAGGGAAUCCCGCCCUAGUCUAACUUUUGAUUGUGACUUCCUACGCGCCUCAGUUUGAAAAGUGGGAAUCUUGAAGGAUCUGGGUUCAAAGCAUUACUCUAGGAGAUUAUUUACUCGUUUAUACCAGAGACCAGGUCUAUUCUUUAAUUAAUUUCUCAGCUUGAGGUGUCCAUGACAGGUAGUGUAAAUUUGAACUCCAAUCUUAUGUGAGGAUGGAUGUUAAUGAUUAAUUCUCAGGUGAGACUCUUUUUUUUUUCUUUUGCGGUACGCGGGCUUCUCACCGCUGUGGCCUCUCCCGUUCCGGAGCACAGGCUCCGGACGCGCAGGCUCAGCGGCCAUGGCUUAUGGGCCCAGCCGCUCCGCGGCAUGUGGGAUCUUCCCAGACCGGGGCACGAACCCGUGUCCCCUGCAUCGGCAGGCGGACUCUCAACCACUGCGCCACCAGGGAAGCUCUCUCUUUUUUUUUUUUUUUUGAUGGUGGUAGUGGUGGUGAAAUCUAGAACCACAGCGGAGGAGAGCAGAUUUACCUGUUAGUCCCUUAACUGGCAGGAGACUUUUUCCUAGCCCACCCUUUAACUCUGGGUGUGGCUUCUUUGAAGACCUGCGUUUUAUGCUGUAGUCUCAGGUUUCGUUCUUCACUUUGCGUAGUUUGAGACUUAACCUUGUUCCUUCACAUGGACAUCAAUCCACAAAAGCUCUUGGUUUCUGUUGGGAUGCCCCACAGCAAGGUGGUUUCAGUUCUCGGGUUUGCUUUGCCACUCCAGUUUCAGUUUUCUUUUCUGUGUUUAGUAUGUUUAUAUUGUUUUUGCUUUUAGGAAUUUCCUUUACUUUCUUGAGCGCUCAGUGGCAAGUUUAAAGAUACCUUUAUUUUGAUAUAUCCAGCAUUUAGCAGUUUUGCAACAUAAGACUACUUUUCAUGAUAGAUAAAGUGUACCAUACUGCUAAAAGCAGAGGUUGCAGUGGGAGAGAUGAGGAAGAAUGUCAGUACCCGCAGUGUUUGCAAAAUACUAGAAACAAUCUAAAUGUCUCUCAGCAUCAGAAUAGAUCAGUAAAUCAUCCUGUUUCUAUUGUAUGCUAAAUAAAACCAUACUGCCAUGAAAUGAAUGAAUUAUAGCUAAUAUAUCAGGUUAAUCAUAAAAACAGUCACAGAAUACCAGAAGUAUGAGGCUAUUUAUAUAUAGUGUUCAAAUGUUGUCAUACUGCACAGUAUCUUAAAUAAGAAUUCACAUAUAUAUAGUAAAACAAUAAUAAAAGAGAAUGAGAAAUACAAAUUUCGAAAUAGUGGUUACCUGUAGGGUACAGGAAAGCGAGAACAAUUUGCUUUGGGAGGGAUAUUCAAGAAGCAUCAAUAAUAUUUGUAAUGUUUUAUUUUUUAAGCUUAGUAAUGGAUACAUAGUAUUCAUUUCAUUAUUCUUUGUACCUUUUAAAUAUGUGUAUAUACAAAUGCACAAAACACUCUCAUUUGUAUGUAUUUCUUAACAAAAAAUACUUUCUGACUAAUGAAGCUAAAAGGAGAGGAAUAAGGUGACUAAUUGGGAUGCUGUGUUAGUAAUUCACACAUAAGAUGAUGAUAGGUUAGACUAGGGGUCAGCAAACUAUGUAUGGCCUGUGAGCCAGCUGCCUAUUUUUUGUAAAUAAAGUUUUAUCAGAACAUAGCCACACCUAUUCACUUAUGUGUUGUCUUUGGCUAUUUUUGCACUACAGUGGCCAAGUUGAGUAGUUGCAAUGGGGACUGUGGCUUGCAGGCCUAAAAUAUUUACUCUCUGGCCCUUAAAGAGAAAAUUUGCUGAUGCUUAUGAUGUUAACAGUAGAAAUGUUGAGAAAAUGAUUAGAUUCAGGAUUUUUUUUUAAGGUUAAGCCAGAAGGAUCAAUAGUAGCUGGCUAUGUGAGCUUCUGGCAGAGUGGAGAGGGUAGAGCUGGGAAUCACCAGCAGAUGGAUAAUUUAUUAAGCAAUAAGACUGAAAGAGAUCACUUGAUAAAUGAGUGAAAUAUUGAGAGGAGAAGAGUAUCAAAGACUGUUCUCUGAGCCAUUCUUCCACUUAGAAGUCAGGAAAGGAGGAUGGUCCUGGUUUUCCCAAUUAUGGAGUUUUCCAGAAUGUGGGACUUUUCAGUGCUAAAACCAGGACAAUCCCAGGCAAACUGAGAUGGUUGAUUACCCUAGAUGGUAUCUAAAAGGAGAAUGAGAAAGACUGGUGAGCAAAGUAGAAAAUGACCAAGGUAAGUAUGGAUGUACCAGUAGAUAAACUGUCACACAUUACUGGAAGAACAGUAACUGACCACUAGAGUUAACAAAAGGGAGGGUUUUGGUGGUCUUAGAAAGAGUGUUUUUUCAGUGGAGUUAUGAAACAAAAAUCAUUCCUGAUUGAAAUGGCUUUAAAAAAAGUGGAAGAGAAUUCUGGGAAAAUGGUGGCUGUGAAUAUGUAAUGUUUUUGCUUUCCUUGAAUCCUCCCCAUCUCCCACCAAACAAAACAAACAAACCAAAUAAGAGAGAAACUAAAAGAGCAAAAUACAAAUCCACAGGUAACAUCUACAUCAAAGCUAAGUGACAAGUCACCCCCUCAAACCCUAUAAGAAGAUUAACUGGGAAUAAACUGACAGCCCUAAGAUCCUUUUGGUGUCUGCAGUUUUUAUGGGAUGAAGUAGAAAUAAAAGCAAGGGAAUAUCUGACAGCUCUGAGAAGAAGAGAACCCUCAAAUCAUAAAUUUACUCACUAGAAAGUACAGCAGCAGCUGAAACUGGAAGUCAUCCUUCUAUAGGCAGGUAUGUGAAAGGUAAAUACAGCACAGCUAAAGUCUGGGCCUCUUAAACUCUAGAAUCCAAACUACAGAUGCCUUUCAGGACAACAUCUACUACUCAGGAGACAUUUCUGGUAGUAGAAUCCAAAUUAAACAACAGGACAGGGAUGAUAGUGGCAAAGGAAGAAGGUGGUCUAGAUAAAAGUUGGGGAGGGGAGCAGAGGAGGCAUAUUUCAGGAAGUGUUUAAGACUACAGUUUUGAGCACUCAUAGAAAACCACGAAGAGGGACCUUCAAUGCUACAAAGCUAUAAACUCUACCCUGGUCCAAUUUUUUCUCCUAAAUGUAGAAUAACACCCAUCUCAAUUAAAAAUGAGUAAGAAUUAAAAUGGAAUAUUAAAAAGUAUUCAGUUACCAUAUUAUCCAGCAAUACCAUUUCUGGGCAUAUACCCAAAAGAAUUGAAAGGAGGGGCCCAAACAGAUAUUUGUACACCUAUGUUCAUAGCAGCAUUAUUCACAAUAGCUAACAUGAGGGAGCAACCAAGAUGUCCAUCAACAAAUGAAUGGAUAAACAAAAAUGUAGUAUAAACAGACAAUGAAAUAUUAUUCAGCCUUAAAAAGGAAGGAAUACUGACACAUACCACAACAUGGAUGAAGCUUGAGGACAUUAUGCUAAGUGAAAUAAGCCAGUAACAAAAAGACAAACUGAUUUAAUUUUCUAAGGUAUCUAGAGUACAGACUUGGAGAGAGACUUUGUUUAGUGGGCACAGAGUUUCAGUUUUGCAAGAUAAAAAAUUUCUCAAGAUUGGUUGCACAACAAUGUGAGAGUUUCAGUUUUGCAAGAUAAAAAAAAUUCUCAAGAUUGGUUGCACAACAAUGUGAAUAUACUUAACACUAGUGAACUGUACACUUAAUGGUUAAGAUGGUAAAUUUUAUGUUAUGUAUAUUUUACCACCAUUAAAAAGAAAAGGAUGAUGGGCCAAAAAAAGUGUCAAUACAAAUGAAGGCAUAAAAUUGGAAACAGAGGAAUGAAAAACAGGUUGCACAUAGAAGACAAAUAAUAAAAUAGUAGACCUGAAUCCAAACACAUCAAUAAUUACAUUAAAUGCCAAUGGACUAAAUACACCAAUUAAAAGACAGAGAAUGUCCAAAUGGAUAAAAAUUCAUGACUGAAGUGUGUGCUAUUUUUGAGAAACUUCAAAUAUAGGUAGAUUAAAAGGAUAGAAAAAGAUACAUUAAGCAAACACUAAUAAAAAAGAACUGGAAUGGUAAUAUUAACAGGAAACAAAGACUAGAGAGCAAAGAAAAUCACCAGGGAUAAAGAGGGACAUUACAUAAUGAUAAAAGGGUCAAUUCACUGAGAAGACAUAAUAAUUCUCAAUGUGUAUACCUAAUAAGAGAGCUCCAAAAUAUAUGAAAUAAAAACUGACAGAACUGAAAGGAGAAAUAAUUAAAUCCACAAUUUUAUAUAGACUCCAACAUGCCUUUCUAAGUAAUUGAUAGAACUAGUAGACAGAAAAUCAGCAAGUAUAUGGAAAAACUAAAUAAUGCAAUCAUGCAAAUGAAUAUAGUAUACUUUACCCAACAAUAUUAGCAUACACACUCUUUUCAAGUGUGCAUAGAACAUAUCUUGGAUCAUAAAGCAAACUUUAAAAGAAUUGAAACCAUACAUCUUAUGUCCUUUGACAUAAUGGAAUUAAAUGAGAAAUCAAUAACAAAGAUAAGAGGCAAACCUCCAAACACUUAGAAAUGAAACAAGACACCUCUAAAUAGCCUAUGAAUCAAAGAAGAAGACUUGAACAGACACUUCAUCAAAGAGGAUAUAUGGAUAGCAAAUAAACACAUGAAAAGAUGUUCAACAUCAUUAGCCAUUGGGAAAAUGCAUAUUAAAACCAUGAUGAGAAACUAAACACCUAUUAGAAUGGCUAAAAUAAAAUAUAUUGCAAUUACUAGGUACUGGCGAGGAUACUGAGCAACUGGAACUUUCAUACUUUGCUGGAAGGGAUGUAAAAUGGUACAGUAACUUUGGAAAAGAGUUUAGCAAUUUCUUAUGAAUUUACACAUACACAACCCAGCAAUCCUACUCCUGAGUAUUUACCCUAGAGAAAUGGAAACUUGCAUUCACACAAAAGCCUAUACAGGGUUAUUUGUAGUAGCUCUGUUCAUAAUUGCCCCAAACUGAAAACAGCCUAAAUGUCCUUCAGCAUGUGAAUGACACAUCCAUACAAUGGAAUAGUACUCAGCAGUAAAAAGGAAUGAGCUCUAAGUACAUAAAGGUACUUGCAUGGAUCUCAACAGCAUUAUGCUGAAUAGGAAAAAAAUCUCUAAACAUUACAUACUGUAUGAUUCCAUUUAUAUAACAAUCUGGAAAUGAAAAAAAUCGUAAAGAUGGAGAACAGAUCAGUGUUUGCCAGAGAUUAGGGACUAGGGGAGGGAGGAUGUAUAAAGUGAUAGCUUGAGGGAGUUUUAGGGGUGAUCGAACUAUUCUGUAUAAUUAUUGUGGUUAUAUGAAUCUCUACAUGUAUUAAAAUUCAUAGAACUAUACACAAGAAAGCUUUGCUAUGUUAAUUUAAAUUUUAAAAAUUUAAAUAAAAGCAAUAGGAAAAGAUUCUGGU